ensembl:lncRNA
GCCCGGGGCUCGGUGGGGCUCUCCCUCGCGGCUGUGCCGGCACUGCGGCGGGGGUCCGUCCCCCGCACCCGCGCUGGCUCUGCUGCUUGGCGGCCUUAGGGACCGGGCAGGCGCGCUGCCGAGCCAAGGGGAGGCCGGGCCUCGGGCCUCGGCAGCGAGCUGCCGAGCGCCGGGCCUGGCCCGGCCUCGGCCUGCCCGUGCCGGCGUGGCCUCCAUUCCGCACGCCGGCGGUUGUCCGCCGCCAGCAGCCUUUCUAGCAAGGGGCGGCCGUGGCAGCGGCUCUGGCUUGCUUUCAGACUGGCCUCCGGGCAGCUCCUUGCAGCAGCCACCCAUCCCCCGCCCGGCCCGCCAGCCUGGCCUUGCGGGCAGGCCGCUGUAGAAGAGGUAUCUCGAAGGCGUAUCUCGUCUACAUACACGCACCAGGCUGAAUUUGCAGGCCGUGGCCAGCACUGCUGGCUGACAGAGGUCCUGUCCUCCGGCAGGACCCGCGGGCCCCUCGCUGGUCCCUCGGGACAGCUGUUCGGCAGGCAGAGGGAUUGCCCUGCAGCUUCAGACAUGGGUCGUCUUGCAGAGUAGAAGAUGAGACCGACAGAUGUGGCUGUGCUGAGUAGGCAGAGGCAUGGACUACUCUUUGAUCCUAUAAAGUUUAUCCUGGUUUUCAUGAAACACCCCUGUAAGUGGCCAGCAAUACAUCUCAUUGCCGCUUCUCUUUUGCUUGCACUUCCUGCAGUUUUUAUAGAAAGGUAUUUUAAAAAGCAGAACAUUCCAGCCAUUGCUCCAGGAAGAAUGAAAGGACAGUCAGAGCAGAUCACGUACCCAGUGACCCUGAAAGUAAAAGGCUUGUACUACUUUCUGCUAGCCCCCACGCUUUGCUACCACCUGAAUUUCCUAAGAAAUUCACACUGCAGACACAGCUAUAUCAUUAAGAGGCUCCUGGAAGUGGGCCCUGAAGGAGUAAACAAAUGUCCUACAGACUGUACGUGCACUCUGCUAAAAAUGUAGCAAUAGCCAGAGCUGUCUGCGGUUGCUUUCCUUUUGUGAUAUUUGAAUGGGAGUUACUAUUUGAUCAUCAUGGAUUAACCUUUAAAGGGGCUCUUGAAGGAUCUGGCAAUUUCAUAGAGGUGAUACGAAGUGUGUGGGACUCUUUCGCCUCCUGCCAAUAAACCGGACCAAAUUAAGCCCCCUGGUCUAGCAGGUCAUCACAGAUCCAUUGGCCCAUCCAGGCAAGGCCAAGCAUCAUCCGUUGUCCGUGCAGGCAAUGUGCAUGGUGAAUGCUCUGAAACAGUGACAGUGAGAGGAGUCCUUGCACUAAGAUGUUGACAUCUUAUGUUAGAGUGAGUAAUGUGCUGGGAUGUGUGCCAGCCUCUGAGACCUUCACAGGAUGGCUGCAGCAUAAGCAAUUUCAGUGUCAGUUAAUUACACUUGAAGACACUGUGGUCGUUGUGGUAUCUAAAUACAAAAUAGAUGGAGAUAUGGAGUGAUGCCUCAGGACAUGGUGACUUUAGUGUGAGGUAAUCAAUGAAGGGCUUUGAAGUCUCUUCUUGUUUUCAUUGCAGAUAUUUCUCUUUCAUCUCAUGCUGGUGCUAUUUCAACAGGUAUUGUUUUUUUCUUUAAUGUUAAAAGCCAGGGAUUCAAUUGUCACAUAUAACAAGAACUGCUGGGAUGCAGUUCUUAGCAUCUAACAUUAUAGGAAAGUUAUGGCUGACCUGCACCACUUUAUUCUCCUAACCACCUCUGCAACUACCUUAAUGCUUAGGUACCGCAGAAAUGGCUCACUUUAUCAUGUCUGUACUUACUCUCAUCUCCUUAAACACAGCAGCUAGCCCACAGAUGAUGAUUCCAGUGCCUACUCAGUAUAAAGAAAGGAAAGGGAAGACACUGGGAUCGGGGGUGCUGCCUGUCUCAUUUUAUGGCCUGCUAGAUGACCCUUUGCAUCUCUGGGUCUAAGUUUUCUCUUCUCUGUGAAAGGCUGUAACUUUUUAAGGUACUUUGGGAUCUGCAGAGGAAAAGCUCUGUAGCUGUGUUAACACAAACAAUUCUUUCUCGUGCUUCCUGUGGCAGUCUCCCAGCAGCUGUCACCUGGCUUGUCCAAGAUCCCCUGCAGAAUUUCUCCAGAACCUUUUCUGCCAGCAGUGUGGGCAGCCGAGAAUAGUAAAUUAAUAUUUGUUCAAAGAUUUUUGGGGGCAUAAAGUAUAUUUUUCAUGCCAGUGUAAGUAUGAUAUAGUUCUCAUAAAGCUCUUGCUGUAAUAAAGCACUUAAAAUAGCUAUCCGUGCAAGCUCUUCACCUCAGCUGGCAGCCUUUUUCACACAAGAGGAUGUGCUGUGGAUGGUCUUCUCUGUUAAUACAUCCCAACAGAACUUUUUUGUGCCUUUCUGUCCCGGGUAGAGAAGGCUGGAGGACUUUGUCCUGCUGCCAUUGGCCUAUCCCGCUUACACAGUGGAGUUUCAAUGGUGAAGGCUUUACAGCCAUCCUCAGUGCUCAGGGAAAGAGCCACCCAUGUUAUCACCCAGUUAUCUGCUGGCUGUUUGCCAGUGCCAGCAUCUCAUCAGUCUGUAUGGGCUCAUAUGUGGCAGAGGCUGCAGCUGUGUUUUCUCAUCAUAGCAGACACAAAAUAAUGAGUCAUUUUACAGGGCCUUCCAAUCAAAACUGUGUGUACCUUAAUUGCUCUCUAUUUUUUCUUUCAGUGGAUUUUACCAAAUACACAUGAAUCAGUGAAGUUUAUAAAU